GACGAACGCUGGCGGCGUGCUUAACACAUGCAAGUCGAACGGAAAGGCCCUGCUUUUGUGGGGUGCUCGAGUGGCGAACGGGUGAGUAACACGUGAGUAACCUGCCCUUGACUUUGGGAUAACUUCAGGAAACUGGGGCUAAUACCGGAUAGGAGCUCCUGCUGCAUGGUGGGGGUUGGAAAGUUUCGGCGGUUGGGGAUGGACUCGCGGCUUAUCAGCUUGUUGGUGGGGUAGUGGCUUACCAAGGCUUUGACGGGUAGCCGGCCUGAGAGGGUGACCGGCCACAUUGGGACUGAGAUACGGCCCAGACGCCUACGGGAGGCAGUAGUGGGGAAUAUUGCACAAUGGGCGGAAGCCUGAUGCAGCAACGCCGCGUGCGGGAUGACGGCCUUCGGGUUGUAAACCGCUUUCGCCUGUGACGAAGCGUGAGUGACGGUAAUGGGUAAAGAAGCACCGGCUAACUACGUG
rnacentral:rRNA from 1 species